AUACGUAGGUGGCAAGCGUUAUCCGGAAUUAUUGGGCGUAAAGAGGGAGCAGGCGGCAGCAAGGGUCUGUGGUGAAAGCCUGAAGCUUAACUUCAGUAAGCCAUAGAAACCAGGCAGCUAGAGUGCAGGAGAGGAUCGUGGAAUUCCAUGUGUAGCGGUGAAAUGCGUAGAUAUAUGGAGGAACACCAGUGGCGAAGGCGACGAUCUGGCCUGCAACUGACGCUCAGUCCCGAAAGCGUGGGGAGCAAAUAGGAUUAGAUACCCUAGUAGUCCACGCCGUAAACGAUGAGUACUAAGUGUUGGAUGUCAAAGUUCAGUGCUGCAGUUAACGCAAUAAGUAUUCCACAUGGGGAGUACGUUCGCAAGAAUGAAACUCAAAUGAAUUGGCGGGG
rnacentral:rRNA from 1 species